UACAAUUAAUCAAAUUUCAAUAUAAACUUUCUUCAGAACCCAGUACUUUGAAGCACCAUUGAUUAAGCUAACUUAGCAAAUGCAAAAGAAUCCAGAUACUAAAGGUAACACGAACUCUGAGAAGCCAUCUCGGAAACAAAUUUUGAUGUUCUCUUAAAAUAUGUUGAAUCAGUCUCUCUAACUAUAGGAAUCAUACGGCAUUUUUUAAGAUAAUUUCUUAAUUAACAAGCAAAGUAUAUAAAUGAAGAUAUUAUAAGAUCAAAAUUCUUAGAUGUACCAAAUGAUUUUUCUGAAACUUCCAGUCAGUUGAGAUAAAAAUAUAUUGUGGUGAAAACAUUCCGACAUAAUUGAAACAGUACUGGUAGUUUGUAUAUUAGAAACAUGUUUCUGGGAUUUAUCUACUGUAACUUGAAGCCCAUCUGUCGUCGCUUAAAAUAUCCCAUUGCAGUCAACUACAGCUGUGCUUACCAUAAAAAUAAGGUUCACCCACAGAUAUCGAGUUUACAAAUUUUCUUGCUUCUCCGGUUGGUUUGACAACGAUCUUCUACUAUCAAAAGUAUAUUAUCUAAAUUUUUCCUCUUCUUGUCUGUUUUAGAACGAUUCUAAACUAAAACUCCGGUUGUUGGUGGUUCGGGUCGGACGUGGCCUAAUGGUUAACGUGCCGUACUGUCAGUGUGAGAGUUCCGGUUCGCGUCCAAUUGCCAUAAAAACACUCCGCGCUUUGGGACCAUGGAUGUGAUUUCCCUUCUCGAGACUAAGAUUACUUCGGAUGACCUCUCUAACAUUAUUAUCUGUUCCAUUCUGACAUGCCUAAUCUCCUUUACCGUGUAAUACUCUAGCAGAGUGCUAAUUUUUUGGUAAACGAGUGGCGCCAAGGCGCCUAGUUCAACAAAUCUGACAAGUACCUGACGUCAUAAGCAAGUUGACCAAUAGAUUUAUACAUCUUAAACUGGAAAAGAGACAGUCGCCACAUCACCAUGGGGACCCCACAGAAGUCACGGAACUCUGCGGAGAGGGAUAUUUAGAGGCUAUAUAUAGCCUUUACACAGUUUACCGAACAUCAAAAGGAUAACCAUUGCUCUUUACAAUAUUAUAUAUAACUUUCAUCAAAGGGAGAAGAAGGGAAACUCGUUGGACCAUACAAGAUGAUCACUAAAUACAAAAAGAAUCCAAAUUUAACAAACUUUGAAACGGACUUCGAAAACUUAGAGAAGAAAAUCAGAAAAGUACGUUUGAUAAGAUCAAGUCUUGUGAAUGAAUAGCCCCAAAUGAAUUUGAUUACUGCUCCUGAAAUAAAAAGUAUUUGUAUGAAGGAAAAAUAUAUAAACAUACUUUACUGGUUAUAUAAAUCUGAACAAUAAAAACAGCAAAAGUACGGUUUAGUUUGUUUGAAGUAAUGAAGCCUUUGAGAUAACUGCAAGCCAAUGAACAGUGUACAAUAAUCAACUGUAUCUUCACACAUUUACUUUGGUUGAUAUUCAAUUCUUGACGUAACACGUGUAUCCACAUAGUUUCUUUUGCUCUUAAAUUUUUUUCACUUCAAGCACCCCCUAGAUACAGAUAGUAUUUCGUAUUGUAAUUGUUUUGUAAUAAACCGCGAAAUGAAAGUUAAA